rnacentral:rRNA from 1 species
GUGCCAGCAGCCGCGGUAAUUCCAGCUCCAAUAAGGAAAACUAAAGUUGCUGUGUUUAAAAAGCUCGUAGUUGAAUUUCGGGUAUUUGUUGCUAGCUGGUCUAACUGGCCAUGUUGGUUAACAGAUCCUCAUUUGCUGGACGGCUGGCGAUGAUCUUUAUCGAUUGUCGUCAGUUGCCAGAACGUUUACUUUGAGAAAAUUAGAGUGCUAAAAGCAGGCUCACGCCUAUAUAUAUUGCAUGGAAUAAUGAAAUAAGAUCUCGAUUUUAUUUCGUUGGUUUUAGAAAUUGAGAUAAUGAUUAAUAGGAUCAGAGGGGGGCGUACGUACUGUGGUGUGAGAGGUGAAAUUCUUGGAUCGCCACAGGACGAACAGCAGCGAAGGCGUUCGCCAAGAAUGUUUUCAUUAAUCAAGAACGAAAGUUUGAGGUUCGAAGACGAUUAGAUACCGUCCUAGUUCAAACCAUAAACGUUGCCAACUGUCUUUUAGAUGCGGUUAUUUAUAUGACUCAUCUGGCGGAUCUCGAGAAAUCUAAGUUUUUAGGUUCCGGGGGAAGUAUGGUUGCAAAGCUGAAACUUAAAAGAAUUGACGGAAGGACACACAAGUAAGUGGAGCCUGUGGCCUAAUUUGACUCAACACGGGAAACCUUACUCGGCCAGGACACUUUUAGGGAUUGACAGGAUUGAGGAGCUUCUUUCUUGGAUUAAGGUGGGUGGUGGUGCAUGGUCGUUCGUAGUUCGUGGAGCGAUUUGUCUGAUUAAUUCCAUACA